UCCAGGGUAGCCUAGUGGACAUGGCAUCUGCCCGGUAAGCGGAACACUGUGGGUUUGAUUCCCAUCCCUGGAC
rnacentral:tRNA from 1 species